rnacentral:lncRNA from 10 species
CCUAUGUGAUGAUGGGCUCUGUGCAUUUCUUCCCAACUCUGUGUUCCAUGAUGUCACGUUGGUAGCUUGAGAUUGGCCACGGUGCAAGUAUUUACAGCAUGGAAAUCAACAAAUGCUGCAAAUCAUGGCACAUUUUCCUCAGACCUGGUUCUUAUGUGCUUACCAGGACACCACUGCCUCCCAUUCUCUUCUUCCUACUAGGUAGACCCAGAACCCAGCCCAUCAAUGACACUUUUCUUUCAGAGGAAUGACCAUAAUUUACAGCCUGCAAUGCCAAUGGGGGUCUCCCAGUGAACAUACAGCUACUCUGGGUGCAUUUCAGUGAAUCAUCACAGGGCUAACUGAUAUUCUCAUAUUCACCUUCUGAGGAAAACAUGGAAUUCCUUACUGAGGAGAAUGAACACCACCAACAACGAGCUCUGUUUUUGUUGUAACCAUGUGCUCCUUUCCCCCUGCACCCCCCAUCCAGGUACCUACUAGUUCCCUGACUUUACAGCUUGGUGCCAUUUCCUAAGACCUCCAAUUCUCCUCCCAGGUACUGUUCCCAGACUUGAAGUAGCCAUGACCAAAGCCGUCACCAAAGAGAUUUGUUAAAGGAAAGACAUCAUAUUUGGCUUUUGAAAAAGGCAAACUCCUUCCUUCUAAGAGGAGGAACUGUUUCAUUUUUGAAAGAACACUCAGAGCUUGACUGUUCUUUUUAAGGCAAGGUAGGUUCUGGGCCAGAGGUCUUCUAGACUGUAGAUUCUAGAAUCCAUUAGCCUUGGAAUGGGG